rnacentral:rRNA from 1 species
UAUCCAGACUCCUACGGGAGGCAGCAGUGGGGAAUAUUGCACAAUGGGGGGAACCCUGAUGCAGCGACGCCGCGUGGGUGAAGGAGCACCUCGGUGCGUAAAGCCCUAUCGGCAGGGAAGAAACAGACGGUACCUGACUAAGAAGCCCCGGCUAACUACGUGCCAGCAGCCGCGGUAAUACGUAGGGGGCAAGCGUUAUCCGGAUUCCCUGGGUGUAAAGGGAGCGUAGACGGCGACGCAAGUCUGGAGUGAAAGCCCGGGGCCCAACCCCGGGACUGCUCUGGAAACUGCGUCGCUGGAGUACGGGAGGGGCAGGCGGAAUUCCUGGUGUAGCGGUGAAAUGCGUAGAUAUCAGGAGGAACACCGGUGGCGAAGGCGGCCUACUGGACUGCAACUGACGUUGAGGCCCGAAAGCGUGGGGAGCAAACAGGAUUAGAUACCCUGGUACA